UACGUAGGGCGCAAGCGUUGUCCGGAAUUAUUGGGCGUAAAGAGCUCGUAGGCGGUUUGUCGCGUCUGCUGUGAAAACCUGAGGCUCAACCUCGGGCUUGCAGUGGGUACGGGCAGACUAGAGUGCGGUAGGGGUGACUGGAAUUCCUGGUGUAGCGGUGGAAUGCGCAGAUAUCAGGAGGAAUACCGAUGGCGAAGGCAGGUCUCUGGGCUAGAACUGACGCUCAUGCACGAAAGCGUGGGGAGCAAACAGG
rnacentral:rRNA from 1 species